GGCAUACAUUUGGAUCCUUGAUAUUCCGAAAUACUUCAAUCUUUCUUUCUAAAAGGUAUUCUUUAUGUUUAAUUUUUGUAUGAUCUUUUUGGAAGUAGGUGAGGACUAAUGCUCGAAUUGUGGAAGGGGAUCCAGGUAAAGUAAUUUGCAAGUUUUGUGUAUGUCCAGACUUCAAAAAAAGGUGUCAAGAAAGGAAAAAAACAAAAAAAGAGUAUAGAAGCAACCGUUAUUGCUAUUAACAGGGAAGAAAGGAAGCCAGGAAUAAGAAUUUCGGAUGGAGUUUCUAAUAAUUCACAUAGGGAAUCACAUACUCCCUACGCUUAAUAGUCCAAUUAGGUGUGAAAAUGAGACAACCUCAGAUUAUUCGAAGAGACCUCCAAGGGGAAAAGCAAAGGGGGAUAAAGAUUUUAAGAACAAAGGUCGGGUUGAAGUUCAGUUCAAUGUCAGAGGUCAACCUGAUGGAGAAUAUGCAGCAGGGUUCUCCUCCUUCCUUGGAGUCACAGCAAGAGAGUUCGUACCAUUGACAACUGAGUGGAAAAACCUCACUGAUCUGUACAAAAGACAAAUUUGGGAACAUAUCACUCGAAAAUAUAUUGUUCCAGAAAUUUGCAAAAGGAAUGUGUUCUGUAAAAUGAUGAAGCUGUGGCGAGAUUACAGAUCAUUGACAAUGAAAGAAGUGAUGCAGCAAGCUGAAUCGGUAGGCUUACCACGUGCUGCUGCCCUCCUCAAACCUGAUAAUAUAGAUUCAAUGGAAGUGGCUGGAUUUUGUAAAAUCCAGAACGACAGAAGCAUUUAGGGAAAAGUGUGAAAGAUUCAGGUUGAUGUGACAAGGCAGAACCUUAUUGCAUAGAACAAGUAGAAAAAGUUUUGCAUGUCUUGAAGAAGAGCUGAAGCAACAAAGUGAGACACCGGAUGCAAUAUCAAGGUCCGCUAUUUGGCUUCGUGCCUAUGAAGUGAAGAAAAAAGCAAGUGAAGAAGUUGAGGAUCCGGAAAUACAGAAAUAGUGAAACUAGUACGAAAGUACAAGGAAGAAGAAGAAGUAACACUACCAUGUUCGAUAAAAGCUGAUGCUGUUGCAAAGGCACUUGGUCCGCGAGGACAAGUUAGAGGGCUUGGGUUUGUUGCACUCCCUUCAAAAGUGGAUGGUCAGACACACGUUGCUAAUAAGGUCACUAUGCUAGAGAACGCUCUUGCUGCUCAAACACAACAGGUGGACCGAUUGACAGAGUUAGUGCAAGGUCUCGCUGCAGAUUUGAUAUCUUGGGCAGGAAUCGUAAUGGUUGUCACUGCUUGUCUUUGUAGGCUAUAUGAUGUACAACUUCUUUAUGGGACAUGGUUGGCAUGUGGCAUCGUAUCAAGCUAUCAUCAGCCCCUUCAAGUACUCAUGUAAUCAAUCGGAAGACAAUUCUAAUCUAGCUAGCAUGUUCUAUAUUUGAAAACCAGUUUAACUAUACCAGAGUACCAGACGUUGUCUGUUCAUCGUGUCCGUUUUUGUUUUGUUUUGUUUUUUUUUUUUUUUUGUGAACUAGACCUUGCUAUGAGU